GAUGAACGCUGGCGGCGUGCCUAAUACAUGCAAGUCGAGCGAACGGACGAGAAGCUUGCUUCUCUGAUGUUAGCGGCGGACGGGUGAGUAACACGUGGAUAACCUACCUAUAAGACUGGGAUAACUUCGGGAAACCGGAGCUAAUACCGGAUAAUAUUUUGAACCGCAUGGUUCAAAAGUGAAAGACGGUCUUGCUGUCACUUAUGGAUGGAUCCGCGCUGCAUUAGCUAGUUGGUAAGGUAACGGCUUACCAAGGCAACGAUGCAUAGCCGACCUGAGAGGGUGAUCGGCCACACUGGAACUGAGACACGGUCCAGACUCCUACGGGAGGCAGCAGUAGGGAAUCUUCCGCAAUGGGCGAAAGCCUGACGGAGCAACGCCGCGUGAGUGAUGAAGGUCUUCGGAUCGUAAAACUCCGUUAUUAGGGAAGAACAUAUGUGUAAGUAACUGUGCACAUCUUGACGGUACCUAAUCAGAAAGCCACGGCUAACUACGUG
rnacentral:rRNA from 1 species